GAAAAAACGUUGAAUAAGAAAAGUAGCGCAUGGAUAGCUUCUGACAGAGAGCCGGGGAACAGCUGGAAACCGGUGUUGCACAUGCGUGAAUGGACUUAUGAGUGGCCAUCUGAAAAGAAGGCCCGUCUGCCCCGCGUUAUUGGGGUUCAAGUGGAAGCUGAGAGCUUCAAGAUGAGGUGGCACCGCGGUCGAUCCGUCCUCUGU
rnacentral:ncRNA from 1 species